AUAGAUUUGUGUGAGCUGUUCACUCUUUCCCUGUCCCCUCCCUACAAGAAAAGAAUGUUCUCCGAGAAGAUUAAGCAGGGUUAGGGGCAGACUGUGUCUUUGCACAGAGCAGGUUCCGGACGCGCAGGCCCAGCGGCCAUGGCCCACGGGCCCAGCCACUCCGCGGCAUGCGGGAUCUUCCCAGACCGGGGCACGAAACUGUGUCCCCUGCAUCGGCAGGCGGACUCCCAACCACUGCGCCACCAGGGAAGCCCUACAUUGACUGAUUUUUAAAUGUUGAACCAGCCUGCCAUACCUGGAAUAAAUCCCACCUGGUCAUGAGCCUCAAGACACUUUGGGAACUUGGAGGAGCACCUGGAGGAUGAGUCCGUGAAAGUGAGGAUGUCCUCUUAUGACUGUGGCCACCAAGAGUUUCUCAUUCUCACUGCAGUCCACACUCAACCUCCUGCAAUUCAUUAAAAAUUACCCUUUAUGAGUGCCUACCAUUUUAUGGCUCCACUGGCUUCUACCUUAGAUAUGCA